rnacentral:rRNA from 1 species
GACGAACGCUGGCGGCGUGCUUAACACAUGCAAGUCGAACGGAAAGGCCCUGCUUUUGUGGGGUGCUCGAGUGGCGAACGGGUGAGUAACACGUGAGUAACCUGCCCUUGACUUUGGGAUAACUUCAGGAAACUGGGGCUAAUACCGGAUAGGAGCUCCUGCUGCAUGGUGGGGGUUGGAAAGUUUCGGCGGUUGGGGAUGGACUCGCGGCUUAUCAGCUUGUUGGUGGGGUAGUGGCUUACCAAGGCUUUGACGGGUAGCCGGCCUGGGAGGGUGACCGGCCACAUUGGACUGAGAUACGGCCCAGACUCCUACGGGAGGCAGCAGUGGGGAAUAUUGCACAAUGGGCGGAAGCCUGAUGCAGCAACGCCGCGUGCGGGAUGACGGCCUUCGGGUUGUAAACCGCUUUCGCCUGUGACGAAGCGUGAGUGACGGUAAUGGGUAAAGAAGCACCGGCUAACUACGUG